AGAAACUCAACCAUAACCAUAGUCAUGGCUGGAAAGUUGUGUACUGAACUCGCUUUCUUAGCUGCGAUCAUCUUGUUCAUACCCGUGUUUAGUUCAGUGAAUGGCAUGCCGUUGGGCUUAAAACCAAGCUCUCUGAUACACAUCACAUGCAGUACCCCAAGUGAUUGCGGUGACCCUACGCGUUGCUAUUGUGAUACUCAUUUGUGCUUUUGCCGAUCCUUCAACAGCCCCUUCGCCUUCACCUCACCUCCAAAACUUCCCUUACAAGACAACAACAACUAAUCAGGGAUUUGCAUGCCGGCGUUGUUAAAAUAAAUAAGGGUAUGACACAAGUUUGAAUACUACUUGUGUAUACCUACUCGUAGAUGUAUUCGAACGAGCUUAUAUUGAAAAUCGUGUUAUAAAAAUUUCGUUCGAUAACUAUUUUACUUUUGAAAAUUA